AUACGGGGGGAGCGAGCGUUACUCGGAAUCACUGGGCGUAAAGGGUGCGUAGGCGGUUUGGUAAGUUGGGAGUGAAAGCCCACAGCUCAACUGUGGAACUGCUUCCAAAACUGCCAGACUAGAGUCCGGGAGAGGCCGAGGGAAUUCCUGGUGUAGGGGUGAAAUCCGUAGAGAUCAGGAGGAAUGCCGAAAGCGAAGGCGCUCGGCUGGAACGGAACUGACGCUGAGGCACGAAAGCGUGGGGAGCAAACAGGAUUAGAAACCCGAGUAGUCC
rnacentral:rRNA from 1 species